rnacentral:rRNA from 1 species
CAGUAGCCGCGGGAAUACGAAGGGGGCGAGCGUUGCUCGGAAUGACUGGGCGUAAAGGGCGCGUAGGCGGCGGACACAGUCAGGCGUGAAAUUCCUGGGCUCAACCUGGGGGCUGCGCUUGAUACGUGUUUGCUAGAGUUCGGAAGAGGGUCGUGGAAUUCCCAGUGUAGAGGUGAAAUUCGUAGAUAUUGGGAAGAACACCGGUGGCGAAGGCGGCGACCUGGUCCGUAACUGACGCUGAGGCGCGAAAGCGUGGGGAGCAAACAGGAUUAGAUACCCGCGUAGUCCCUGUCUCUUAUAC